GUUUAGAGAGGUUAAGGGCCUUGACCAAGGUCACAACGCUCAGAAGCAGAAGAGGCAGACAGCCUCUAGCCCAGAUUCUCUGCCUCCAUAUCCGGUGCUGUUCCCUCUACCCCACUGCCUGGGAACAUCUGCUGGAUCAGCCUCAGCGAAUGCCCUGGAAAAAUGGCCAUCUGUCUGGCUAUUAAAAUCCCAUCAGCUUCAUUGCGAGAACGCUUACUUCCCCCAUGCCUGCCAUCCCAAAGGGGGCUCUUACAGCCAACUAGCUCAUGAUCGCUCCGGGCCCUCCAAAGGGUAUGAUCAUUAUGGAGAAAUCUUACAGCUUCUUCCAAGAAAACACCUCUUCCUACCAGAGGUAAAUCCUUCUAUGCUUGGAAGGCUCUAGGGUGGAGAAAGAAAUUCCUUCCCUGCUGGUUGACAGGGAGAGCUAAUUCCUCUUGUUCUGAUGGUGUCUUGGGAGGGGGCAUCUCCUGAACACCCUGGAGGAAACCAAAGGGAAAAUCCUUCAGUACAAAUCAGUGUGUCAACAAGGGAGGCAGCAUCUCUCUCUCUCUCCACCCCCCGCGACCCCUGGCUGUCGUCCACACCACCAUCCUUUCUAGAUGGAGGAAUGGGUCAAAUUGUAACUAAGAACCGAGUGCUCCCGACGCCUCAGAAAGGCCCUUACAGUCCAGGCGACUUCUGUGAAUUGGCCUCUGACCUUCUUUUCACUUUCUAUGUCAGUGUCUCUUUUAUCACCUAAAGAAAAAAGCUGAUGAGUAAUGGGGCUGAAGAGCCACCCGUCUCUCCAUGUCUUUCAAACCCCGUGGAUGGUUUAUCAGUAGGAACAACGCUUUUGCAAAGUGAAUGGUGGGCCAUUGUGGUACCUGAGAUGAAUUUAGGUGGUAUAGGGAUGAACAUUUAAAUAGCUUUAAGCUAAGUAUUUUGAAGGCAUGUUAAAAAUAUAACUAGUGAAUUGAACCAGUGAUUUCUUGGGUACUAUUGCUUAGGAUGAGGCUCGAUUUAAAC
rnacentral:lncRNA from 1 species